UACGUAGGGCGCAAGCGUUGUCCGGAAUUAUUGGGCGUAAAGAGCUCGUAGGCGGCUUGUCACGUCGGGUGUGAAAGCCCGGGGCUUAACCCCGGGUCUGCAUUCGAUACGGGCAGGCUAGAGUGUGGUAGGGGAGAUCGGAAUUCCUGGUGUAGCGGUGAAAUGCGCAGAUAUCAGGAGGAACACCGGUGGCGAAGGCGGGACUCUGGGCCGAUACUGACGCUGAGGAGCGAAAGCGUGGGGAGCAAACAGG
rnacentral:rRNA from 1 species